GCCAGGCAUGGUGGUGCAUGCUUAUAAUCCCAGCAGCUGGUGAGGCUGAGGCAGGAGGAUCAUGACUUCAAAGGCAGCCUCAGCAACUGCGAGGCACUAAGCAACUCAGUGAGACCCUGUCUCUA
rnacentral:sRNA from 1 species